AACGAACGCUGGCGGCAGGCUUAACACAUGCAAGUCGAGCGCCCCGCCAGGGGAGCGGCCGACGGGUGAGUAACGCGUGGGAACGUACCUUUUGGUUCGGAACAACUCCGGGAAACUUGAGCUAAUACCGGAUAAGCCCUAACGGGGAAAGCUUUAUCGCCCAAAGAUCGGCCCGCGUCUGAUUAGCUAGUUGGUGAGGUAACGGCGCAACAAGGCGACGAUCAGUAGCUGGUCUGAGAGGAUAAUCAGCCACACUGGGACUGAGCCACGGCCCAGACUCUUGCAGGAGGCAGGAGUGGGGAAUAUUGGAAAAUCGGCGGAAGGAUGAUCCAGUCAUGGUGCGUGAGUGAUGAAGGCGUUAAGGAUGAACAGCACUUUUGUCCGGGAAGAUAAUGACGGUACCGGAAGAAUAAGCACCGGCUAACUUCGUG
rnacentral:rRNA from 1 species